rnacentral:rRNA from 1 species
UACGGGGGGGGUAAGCGUUGUUCGGAAUUACUGGGCGUAAAGGGCUCGUAGGCGGCCAACUAAGUCAGACGUGAAAUCCCUCAGCUUAACUGGGGAACUGCGUCUGAUACUGGAUGGCUUGGAUUCGGGAGAGGGAUGCGGAAUUCCAGGUGUAGCGGUGAAAUGCGUAGAUAUCUGGAGGAACACCGGUGGCGAAGGCGGCAUCCUGGACCGAUAUUGACGCUGAGGAGCGAAAGCCAGGGGAGCAAACGGG